rnacentral:lncRNA from 1 species
AUACAGGUUUUCCCCCCCACCCCAUCAUGUACAGCUGAAUCACGUAGAAUUUGAAGAUCAAGAUGAUGAAGCCAGAGUUCAGUAUGAGGGUUUUCGACCUGGGAUGUAUGUCUGCGUUGAGAUUGAAAAUGUUCCCUGUGAAUUUGUGCAGAACUUUGACCCCCAUUACCCCAUUAUCCUGGGUGGCUUGGGCAACAGUGAGGGAAAUGUUGGACACGUGCAGAUGCGUCUGAAGAAACAUCGCUGGUAUAAGAAAAUCCUCAAGUCCCAAGAUCCAAUCAUAUUUUCUGUAGGGUGAAGGAGGUUUCAGACCAUCCUGCUGUAUUAUAUCGAAGACCACAAUGGAAGACAAAGGCUUCUAAAGUGUACCCCACAGCACAUGCAUUGUGGAGCAGCC